rnacentral:rRNA from 1 species
UACGGAGGGUGCGAGCGUUGUCCGGAAUCACUGGGCGUAAAGGGCGCGUAGGCGGCGCGGGCAGUCAACGGUGAAAGCUCGGAGCUCAACUCCGAGUCGGCCGUCGAUACUCCCGUGCUUGAGCACUGUAGAGGCAGGUGGAAUUCCGGGUGUAGCGGUGGAAUGCGUAGGGAUCCGGAAGAACACCGGUGGCGAAGGCGGCCUGCUGGGCAGUAGCUGACGCUGAGGCGCGACAGCGUGGGGAGCAAACAGG